rnacentral:rRNA from 1 species
UACGAAGGGGCAAGCGUUGUUCGGAAUUACUGGGCGUAAAGGGCGCGUAGGCGGCUUAUCAAGUCAGGCGUGAAAUUCCCGGGCUCAACCUGGGGGCUGCGCUUGAUACUGAUGAGCUUGAAUGCGGGAGAGGAUAGUGGAAUUCCCAGUGUAGAGGUGAAAUUCGUAGAUAUUGGGAAGAACACCGGUGGCGAAGGCGGCUAUCUGGCCCGUAAUUGACGCUGAGGCGCGAAAGCGUGGGGAGCAAACAGG